GCCCAGGCCGGAAUACAUUCAGUUUGCCACCAGAGCUCGUCUGGAGCACAACUAGUUUCGGAAACAAAUCAAAAAUGUAAAAAAAUUCAAAGUAUUUGUGUUACCAGAAUUAAAUUCCCAUUUCAUUUUGUCUGAUGAUCUUCAAAAUGAAAUGGUUCGAAACACAGAGUAAAGAAUCGGGUCCAUAGCUCACGUGGUUUGAUAAAAAAGGCUCUGCAUACCCUCACUGCCUCGUACACUCCAGACACACCAUACACACCUUACACACCUUACACACCCAAUCACACAUACUUGGCCAUUGCUUUUCUUGACAGGUAAGCAAUGGCAUUGCUCUUCGUUUUCGUUGAGUUGACGGCAUACAAAACAGGAUGUCUGGUUUCCACAUAACCUCAUCAUCAAGAUGUUUACCAAUAUCCAGUCGAACCGCAUAAGGGUUCAACAUAAUGAAGAUCACAUUCCUACGCUAUAGCGUAUAGGAAUCGCCUUAAUAGAGUUAUAUUGAGUAAUUUUCCCCGACCGAUGGUACCGGUUCCGCUGAACCUGAGAGGGCAUCGGUCUAACAAUGUUAUAUAUAUAUAUGUACCCAUUUGUUGAAGAAUUAAACCAAAAAU